rnacentral:tRNA from 1 species
ACUUAAGUAGUUUAUAAAAAAUAUAGUAUUGUGGUUGCUAAGAUAAUAGUAUUUCUUAAGUU